GAAGUUUCAGGGUUUAUAAGAUUUAAAUUACUGAAAAGUUUAAUUCUAGCUUGAAAAUUAAUUAUAUUUUUGGUUUAUAUGCUAAUUUUUUCUUUAAAUAAUUUAUUUUGCAGUAUUUUAUUUUAUUAAUCUAGGAAACUAGGAAUUUGUAAUAACUUUAGUAUUAACAUAAUUUGUGCCAGCAGUUGCGGUUAUACAAAUAAUACAAUUUAAUUUUUUUGGUUAAUAAUUAGAUUUUUUUAAUAUAGAAUAUACUUUUUUUUUUAAGGUGAAAUUUAAAGGAUAAUAAUUUUUAUUUUAUUAAUAUUCGAAAUUUAUUAAAUUUUUCUUUAAACUAGGAUUAGAUACCCUAUUAUUUAAAACGUAAGUUCUUAUGCUUAAUUAGUAUUAGUUAUUUUCUUGAAAAUUAAAGAUUUUGGCGGUAUUUUAGCCUAUUCAGAGGAACCUGUUCUUUAAUCGAUAGUCCACGAUUUUCUCUACUUAAUUUUAUUGUUUGUAUAUCGUCGUUUAUGAAAAUUUUAUAAGAAAUAUAAUUUUCAAUAUCUAUAAUUUUAGUUUAGGUCAGAUCAAGGUGCAGCAUAAUUAAGCAGAAAUGGGUUACAAUAAAAUUAUUUAUAUGAAUUAGUAAAUUAAUUAUAAUUAUGAAAGUGGAUUUGAUAGUAAUAUUAUUUAAAUUAAUAAUAUGAUUAAGCUCUAAAAUAUGCACAUAUCGCCCGUCGCUCUCAAUUAAAUUGGGAUAAGUCGUAACAAAGUAGGUGUACUGGAAGGUGUACCUAGAAUGAC
rnacentral:ncRNA from 1 species